rnacentral:lncRNA from 10 species
GGCAGUCAUUCAAGGCUUUUAGGUGCUGGACCGGAAGCAUCUUUAGAUGAUAGAGUGGGAGUAGGCAGUGGCAAUCCACUGAUUUUCCUGAUUUGCAGUGUCACAGUCAUGGUUUUUUCUCAGAGCAGAGCAUGAAUGGAUCCAGCUUCAGCUUGCAGGGCUUUUUAGAUAGUCCCAAUAAGGACCCGGGCAGUCAGAUCUUAGUUUUCAGUGGCAUCAAGUCAGAGGGGGUGAGAGAAUAAUUAGAAAUGUUAAUUACUGACAAAAAGCACAGAACAGCAGGAUCCAGUUUACAAAGAGGUAAAAAGACAAAACAAAACAAAAUGUUCAAAGAUAGUGAACAUGGCUAGAAUUUGACAACCCACAAGGGUGUGCUAUAGUUUCUCACAGGAACAGAAUUUUUCUUUCUAUAAUCACUCUCAUUUCUAUCAAAGAUCAUCAAAGGAAGACUCAUUUGCUUACAAGGUACCAAGAGGAUAUUUAUUUAGGAUGAGAGCUCUCUAAAGAUUAUUUUAGAUGUCAAACCAAAGGAUCUGUGUCUGGCCAUCAGUGGAUAGGACCUCUGAAAGAUACACCUACUCCGAAUGUGGCAGAAACCAUAAAGCCUUUUGAUGGAAAGACCCAGAGGCAAAUUUCCAGGCCGAGAGUAAGUUUUUACCAUGGACAAAAGAGACAUCCCUGAAAUGGGUGCAGAUGAUGUUGCCCCUGUGAUUCCAAAUAGGUCACUCCCAAAGAUAGACAUGGAAUAUGAAGGCAUUCAUUGUCACAGGUGGUAAGGAAACUCCAGUCUUCCACAAAAGUGAGACACCUUCAAUCACAAACCCACUAAUCUGUGACACCAGGUAGGCAAUACUGGGACAGGAAUUUCCCUAGCACAUGUAAGGCAGCAAAGAGAAAAGACGCAGACUCAGCUCUGAGAGUUGGCACAGUUGCUAGGCAAAGUAUCUUGGGUCCCCAUCCUGAUAGCUCACCACCUACAGAUGCAAGCCCAACAACCUGCAACGCCAGCAGAAAAACCAGGGGGAAUGUGCUCUCAAUGGAUCCAAGCCAAGCUCUCAAGACACAAGAUAAGAUGGAAGAAAAAUCUCAUCUUUUUAAAAAAUUGGUGACCCACAGCAAAGUUGGUUCAAAUGGAGACUGGUCCGGUGAGAACUGUAAACUCACCAAUCUGUGAGGUUGAACAACAGGCUUAUAGGACAUAUGCCUGCAUUUUACCCUAUGAUUCUUCCUCUUAUGACAAAUGACACAAAAGACAGAGACAAAAGAAUAUUGUGGCUACCCUUUGAGAGAGAGAUGGAUCAGUAAGAAAUGAUCAAAGUCACACAAACCCAGAGAACUAACUUCACACAAAUGUUUUCUCCUGUUAAUCUAAACUUGGAAAGGAGAAAUUUUUACCACCUGGUCUUGACCAUAGUCUACACAUGGAAAUCUGGGAUGCUGAGUUCAGGAAGAAUUCUUAACCUUUUACCAGUUUGGUCUGGGCCCCAGAGUUUUACUGUAGCCUCUGGGGUGAGUCAGGGACUUUGUUGGUUUUGUUCUCUGUUGUAUCCCUAGCACCUAGAACAGCACUCAGGCACAUAGCAGAUUCUCAGAAAACUCUAGUUGAAGAAUGGAUGGGAGCCAGGCACAUUGCAAACAUCACUAAGAUGCACAGAUGUCCUCCAAGGUGGGCAUUUGAAUGAGACUCAGAGAGGACAGGUGAAUUCCCCAAGGUCGCUGCUAUGGUUUGAGUAUUUGUCCUCUCCAAAAUUUAUGUUGAAGUUUAAUUCCCAAUUUGGUAGUGUGGAGAGGUAAGACCUUUGAAAGGUUAUUGGGUCAUGAAGGCUCUGCCGUCAUGAAUGGAUUAAUGGGUUAAUGAAUUAACGGGUUACCAUGGGAGUGAGACUGGUGGCCCUAUAAAAAGAGGAAAAGAAACCUGAACUAGCACACUUAGCCUCCUUGCCAUGUGAUACCUAUCUGCACUGCCUGAGGACUCUCAGAGAGUCCCCACCAGUAAGACCAUCCUAACCAGAUGUGCCCCCUCAACCUUGAACUUAGCCUCCAGAACUGUAAGAAAUAAAUUGCCU